rnacentral:lncRNA from 1 species
UCAAAACCUCACAGCAAGUUCAGCAACCGAUCGCAACAGACUGAUGGUUACAACGGCUUCAUCUACAUUUCUGAAAUGGGGUAUUAAUGUCAAAAGGUCAGUGAUAUCACCAUAGUACUCGAGCUGAUUUCCAUCUUACACCAUUCAUUUCCCGUUUCUCUUCACCUUUUUGAAGCUUUUUGUAGCAUGAGCUAAAAGCAACAAAACAAGGUGAUAAAACCACUACAGCAAAGCUGUCAUCAAUGCCACUUUAAUCAUGUCUUAGUAAAUUUGUAGCAAUUACUUGUAACAGACGAGAUGAGGCCAAAAAUUAAGAUAAUCAGGCCAGUAAUAUGUUCUGGCGUGUCAAUUCCCACCUGCAAGGAAAAAGAUUCCUUAGCUAUAAUGAGAUGCAACUAUAAGACUGCUAGAAACUAAAGGCAAGUAACAGUUCACCAAAUGUUUACUACCACUUCACAUUCUUUUAAAACAUGAAAAAACAAUUGCAAAAAGUGUGAAGAUAGUUAAAUGUGUAUUUUAUUGAAUAUUAAACCCUAUAUAUCCAAGUUUUUUAAAAUAGAAAAAAUAAACCAUUAAUUAUAUUAAUUAUAUAUGGUAUGUUUUACUCUAAUGCUCUUUAACCUAAUGACAAACUCUCUUUAACACUCCCCCUCAAAUUGAUAGAUAAAUAUUGUUCAUCCUCAGCUUGCUAAUAAUAGUGCGCAUGUUAGAUUGUUUGACUUUUAAUCAACACAUUUGCAAGCUAAGAGCUAGUCGGCAUAUACAGGUACAUUCGCCGUCUAUUUUUUCUUUGAUGAAAUGUUUGCCAACUUCAAUAUAUUUGGCUCCAUCAUGUUGCACCCGGUUAUGGGCAAUGCUUACGGCCAAUUUAUUUUCACAGUAUACGUACAUGAAGUUGUUCUCAUGCGAUUUUUAGAUCUUCUAAAAUUCUCUUUAACUAUAGUAAUUCACAUACUCUUUGAGCUAUUGCUUGAAAUUCUAAUUUUGCAAUCAACCUUACAACUACAUUUUGCUUCUUACUCCUCCACAUAUCCACGUUACUCCUAAAGAAGAUACAAUAACUCGUAAUAGGUCUUCUAUCCACCAUUGAUUCUAUGUAGUCUACAUCCGUAUAGACUUCUAUGAGUAAUUUGUCAUUCUUUCUAAAUAUUAUCAUCUCUCAUAUGACCAUUUUAGGUAAUGCAACACUCUAUAGGUUGUCUGUAAGUAUACUUCUUUAUGGUUGUGCAUGAACUGACUUAUGACACUUAAUUCCGUAGGUUAUUUCAAAAAUAAAAUACUUAAUGGCGUAGGUGAUAUCAGAUCUUGUAUGUAACAAGUAUAUCAGUCUCCCAACUAAUCUCUAACACAUUUUCUUAUCUCCUAACUUAUCAUCUUCUAUCUGUCCUAGUUUAUGAUUGAAAUCUUUAGGAGUACUAACUGACUUACAUGCUAGUUUGUUUAUACCUCUUAAUAAGUCAUGAAAGUAUUUCUGGGAGAUAAAGAUCCUUAUUUUAAGCGGGCGACUUCAACUCUCAGAAAGUACUUUCAAUUACCUAAUUUCUUGAUUUUGAAUUCUCUAAUUAAACAUCACUUAAACGUCAAUUUACCUUUUUCAUCAUUCCUUUGUUAUAAUAAUAUCAUUAACAGUUACUAAGAGCGCGAUAAAUCCCCUUAUCUCAAAAUUCUUGAUAAAUAAAGUGCGGUCUCCUUGAGUUGCUUGUCUCCCAAGCCUGUCAUUGCCCUUGAAAAUCUACAAAACUAUGUUCUAGGCGAUUGUUUAAAUACAUAAAAUGUCUUCUUCAAUUCACAAACUUUAUACGGUCCUACCCUCUGUUAUAGUUGCUAAUCAAAAUAAGUAGCUAAAGAUAGCAAGAUCCACACCGUGUUCAUGUGGCAGUAAGUAUAGUUCUUGAGAACAUAUGUAGCAGUAAGAACGUUUCACCUUAAUAUUGUUUUGGGAUAUGAUUUUAAAAUAUAAAAACUCUAUCGGUCAACAAGAAGGUAACAAUUCUGACGUUCCGCCACUUUGUUCUAUUGUGGAGUGUAGAAGUAUGACCAUUCAUGGAUAAUCUCCUUUUAGUGGAAAAAUGAGGAGAUUGUGUGAUUAGAAAAGUAUUUUACAUUAUAAGUGUGAAAUCAUUUUAUAUGAAUUCUAAAUUGGGUUUUUACCAUUUUGCAAAAAUGGGGCAUUAUGUGGCUACCAUCUGAUUUGGAUUUUGAGUACAAAAAUCUAUGUAAUAUUAGUGCAAUCACCAAUAAACUACACAAACAAUCGAGCCCAAGAAAUAUUGAGAAUAUGAGAUAACUUCCAAAUAUCACUAUGGAUUAAAGAAAAUGGAAUCAUACUUCUUUUAUUGUUGUUAGAAAAUUGCACAUGCUUAUGUUUGGCUAACUCACAUAAAUCGCUACGUGAAUUCCCAUAUCAAAAUUUUUAAAUAACAGAGAAAACAUAACAUUUGAAAUGAAAAAGAAUGGAUGGCCAAGAAAUUUAUGGUAGAGCCAGAACUUGUGUGGUUAGGGUUGGUGGAAAUAGCAAAAAGAGUUCACCAUAUGUAUCAAAGUAAUAUAAUCUGUUUCUAAUCUCAGUACGUCCAAUCAUUUACCCGAGUUCUAAUGAAGUUAGAAAGAGAAAAAAAGAAUGUUACCUUGCAAUUCAAAUUUUGUGAUAAUUUGAUGGCUAACACAAGAUUUGUACAUAGUUUAAGAACAUGCAACACAUUUUUAAGAACAGGUAGGACUCAGCUUGAUGUGGUCCUUCCUAGCAAUGUGCCUAGAGAAUCAUCCAUCGUGAUUAUUGUCCUACUACUGGGGCAUGACACAUACAUAUAAAAGUAUUUAAAAGUAUUUGUCACAUUAUCAGUGGCCCUGAAUCUACUAUCUAUGAGUUUCUAAACGGUCGAUAUAAUACAUUAAAACCAUGCAAGAAAAAAGAUAUGUCUGAGUGUUUCAUCUAACCUGUACCUGUGGAUUUCUAAAGAUCUUCUAAUCUGCUUUACAAUCAUUUUAUCUCAGCCUUAAAUUCCCUGAGAUCACUAAUUUGGUCUUCCCCCUUCUGAUGGGCCAUAUAGGCUAUCUAUGAGACUUUUGUAGAGUGCUCUGUAACAACAAUCCUUGCUUGAGGUAUUGAGUUUGUCAUGGAGUUCCAAACAUUUAGUUUUGGUGGCUGACAUUUUGCAAAAAGUACACCAAAUAUUAUUCCUAUUAUUGACAAUGAGCUUGAAAUUUCCUGCUUGGCUUAGCUCCUUUAUCUGUUGGCAUGGGUUGGGGCCUUUGGAGAUUAGUGUUGAGCUGGUGGUUGACCUAAAUUCUAAUAUGAUCUCUCCUACUCUCUUCUGCUAAUACAAUAGUAAUUGCCUCAUUUCGUAAUGAUAUUUCGUCUUUACUUAAGAUUUGAAUCCGUACUUGAUCAAACUCCUGUUUGAGACUUGCCAAAAACUUAUAAGCCCGAUAUUUAUCCACAAACUAUUUUAGGCAGGCUGCAUUCUUACUGCAGCCUAUUGUGAGACCCCAAUACAGACCCAAUUAUUGUCACCAACCUUUCAACAUGUUAGAACAUUUAAUGACUAACCUGCUUUCUUACUUUAUGCACUAUAUCUUAACAUUCAAGUCAUAAAUUUGAACUGCAUCUUUGAUUUUAGAAUUGAUUUCCCUAAUUGCAUCCCCUCCUCCUUUGGUGGUAGACAAUAACAAAACUGUUUUACUUAUCUCUUGCUACAUAGAGUCCUGAAGCGCGCUUCCUCAUCCCAUGCGUCAAAGAUGGGAUCCCUUGAUUUUGGUCCAGCGGCUAAGCUUUUCUUUUCUCUUGAGAGAGAUCCAAAUCAAUUGCAACCAACUCAAGGGUCCUUCCUAGUAAAGCAAUAAGCAGCCUAGAUUGGCUGAAAUUCGGUGUUGUAUUGGGUAAGGUUUCCCAUGUGAGAAUUUAUUCAUGUACUUUGGAUGUAAUCUCCAACAUAUUUAAGAGUUGUACGACAAUUAAGGCUAAAAGGUCACGGGAAAAAUGUUACCAGUAAACAAAGCAGUUGUGUCUUGGACAGAAGCACCACCUAGAGCGAUUGAGCAGGACAGAACCUGGACAGGACUUAGACGCGCAUAGCAGGAUUAGUCAUGUGUUGGUCUGUAAUAAUUGAAAAAAAAAAAAAAAAGAGGAAAAGGGGAGGGAAACGAUGCCGUUUUAAAGAGGAGAAAACAACGUCGUUUUGCAGAUGGGAGAAAACGACGUCCUUUUGAAAAAGAAAAAACGACAUCGUUAUGCAAGGGGGAAUACGACGCCGUUUUGAGGAAACUGGUGGGAUAUAAAUAGGGGGCGGGGAAGGAAGGAAAAAAAAAGGAAAGAAAAAGAAAAAAAAGGACAAAGAACAGAGGAAGAAGGGGGCAGGAAAGAGAAAGAGGAGAGGAAGGAAGGUUCCAGAAGGAGAGAGAAGGGAAGUGGAGCGAAGAGAAGAGGAGACCGCGGAAGGUGAUAGCGCGAUCGACAGGAAGAAGGAAGAAGGAAGAUGGAAAUGGGAGGUACGGUAAUAUAUUUCAAAUACGUGUGUUGAUUUGAGAUUUGAAAUGUGGAUGAGAAAUUUGAAGGUGUGGUGUGUGUUUGUGAAUACUUACGGAGGUGGCAGUGUACGGAGGAGGCGGUGUAGGGUAAGUGUGGGCGAUAAGGCGUGUGGAAGGAAGUUGGCCGCGUGAGAACCGCGGGAGGAGAGAGAAAGAAGGUGACGGUGCGGGGGAGGUCCGAGAGAGAUGGAGGAGUGUGGAGUGAGUGGAGGCCAGGAGAGAGAGAGGUUGGCAGUGCGAGUGGAAUCCGAGAGAGAGGUAAGGGUGGGGAGUGAGUGGAGGCCGAGAGAGAGAGAGAGGUUGGCGGUGUGAGUGGAGUCCGAGAGUGAGGUAAGGAUGUGGAGUGAGUGGAGGCCGGGAGAGAGAGAAGGGUUGGCGGUGUGAGUGGAGGCCGAGAGAGAAGUAGGGGUGUGGAGUGAGUGGAGGCCGAGAGAGAGAAAGAUGUGCGAUGUUAGUGAGUGGUGUGAGAGGGAGCUGGAUUGUGUGAGCGACGCGGGAGGAGAGAGAAAGAUGUAGUGGCUAUGAGGACGAAGUCCGAGAGAGAGGUAGGGAGGUGAAGUGAGUGAAAGCCGGGGGAGGGAAGGAUCCGCGGCGGGAGUGAGGUACAUGAGGGAGUGGAGUGGGAUUGCUGGAGCCUUGGGGUGUAGGCAGUGUAAGUAGAGUCCGUGGCGGCAGGGGAAAGACGGCGUGAGUGGGGACUCCUAGAGUAUGUCGUAGGUAGGGGGCAAAGAGGAGCAGUGGGAGAGAAUGAUCAGCGUGUGUGUGCGUGGCCCGUUAGGGGUCGGUAGGGGGACGAUGGUUGCCGAGGUUGGUGACGAAAGUGAAUGAAACUGGUAUGCGUGCGUGGCCUGGUAGAGGUCGAGAGGUAGCUGAUGGUCGCCGAUGUUGGUGACGGGAGAGAAUGAUCAGAGUGUGUGUGUGUGGCCUGGUAGGGGUCGAUAGGUGGUUAAUGGUCGCCGAUGUUGGUGACGGGAGAGAAUGAUCGGAGUGUGUGUGUGGCCCGAUAGGGGUCGGUAAGUGGAUGAUGGUCGCCGAUGUUGGUACGAAAGUGAAUGAAAAUAGUGUGCGUGCGUAGCCCAGUGGGGGUCGAGAGGUGGUUAAUGGUCGCUGAUGUUGGUGACGGGAGAGAAUGAUCGGAGUGUGUGCAUGUGGCCCGAUAGGGGUCGGUAGGUGGAUGAUGGUCGCCGAUGUUGGUGACAAAAGUGAAUGAAAAUAGUGUGCAUGCGUGGCCCAAUGGGGGUCGAUAAGUGGUUAAUGGUCGUCGAUCUUGGUGGUGGGGGGCAUCACUGGCACGCCUGGGGUGGCGUUGGGGGACGGAAACCAAGGGUAUGUAGGACUGUGGGAUACCGGGGGGGGUACUUGGGUUAAGUAGUGAACCGGUGGUAGAGGCAUGGGGUUUUAUAUUGUUGCAUCUCACACCUGUGUUUUGAUAUUUACUGUACUGUGUUAGAUGAACUCACUCUUUACUCUUUACAGAUGAUGUAGGAACAGAGUCCGGAUCGAAGUUGCUGGCGUCCGAACCUAGUGUGUAAAAUAACAGGAUAAAGAUUUUCGUUUCUUUUGGCAGAAUAGAAUGUGUAACAAUUGAUGGCAGCAUAGAUAUUGAGUACGGUUGUAUUGUAUGAGAUGUCUUGUGCAUGAUAGUAGGUUUAUCUGAAUCAUUGAAUAAGGGAUCGUGAUAGUGUUUCCUUGUGCAUGACCGAUUAAUUAUGGAAUUAGUUGUUUGGUUGAUUACGCCCUAAACGUGAAAAGAAGGAAAAAAAAAAAUGGGCGUUACAUGAUCUUUGCACAGCUGCUGGUGUGCAACCAAGGAGGCUAGGUGCAUGGCUAUAACAGGGUUGCCCAAGCAGGGACUGUGCAGGUGUAGGCUUGCCGUUCUUAAUGACUGGCGACUGGAGACUGGCAGCUGAGCAAUUCCUUUUUGUUGCUUCUGGCCAUGAGGUUUUUGCAGCUAGGGCCAGUUAUGAAGGUCAUCUUGUGUUGGAGAUGGUCAGUCUGUGGUGGUUAGCAGUUAGAGAUGUAACACCCAAUAAUUUCUUUUAUUUUUAUUUUUUAUUUUUAAAUAUAGUUAUUUAUUUAUUUAAUUUAUUUAAAAUUAUUUUAUUUUAUUUUAUUUUAAUAAAAAAAGAAUAAAAAAUUUGUUAAGAAUUAAAUUAAAAAAAAAAUUUGGAAAAAAUUGGUGAAAUUUUGAAUUUUGGGAAUAUUUUUGAAAGAAAAAUCGAAAACCAGUAGUCAAAACGCAAUUUAGAAAAAUUGCGCCACGUCAAAUGCUCGAUCAGUAGCCCCGACCAACCAGGACGCGUCAGGUGGCAGAGGCGUUGACGUGAGAGGCCACGUGGGCAAUCCGCGUGCGCGCGAUCGAACGACUGAGGUCCGUUCCCGCGCGCACGGACGACCUAGAUUGAAAUCGCGCGCGGACAGACCAGAUUAAAUCGCGAUGAACAGUGCAGAUUCACUCCCUAUUUAAUCGCGAUCGGACGGUCCAGAUAAAAACGAUGGACGGCCCAGAUCAAAAGUGAAUGGGUAUAAAUAAUCCCAUCUACACCCAAACACAAACCCUAACUGCCAGAAUCUCUCACCGGAGAAGAUAGCCCAACUGCCGGGGAGCCGACAGCCUAGCCUCCACUCGCCGCCGCACCGGAACCUUUUUCGACUGCAAAAAAAGUUAAAAAUUUCUCCUCUUGCACGAAAUUCAAUUUUAAACCCACCCAUGGCCAAAUUGGAAUGAAAGAACCGGCCAAUUGGUUGAAAAAUGCCCACGAAGCCCGGCGGCGCCACCGCAGAAAAUUUCACAAACCACCUCUGAUGAAGCCCUUCCCGAUUCUCGUUUCGCGUAAUUUUUCCACCAUUGUAAUCACCGUUCUCUUCUCUACAGGUUGAUCGGAGCAAAACACCCAACCACAACGCAAGCCGGAGGAGCCGUCGCACCGGAGAGCCCUGUCACCGGUGAGUUUUAGUUUUCUACGUUUUUUUGGCCAACCGAGGGCCUUAAGUGUGUUUUCUCGCAGGAAUUUAUACAAAUUUGGCUGAAAUCGGCUGAAAACAGCCAACUCGAGGCGGAUCACCGCCGCGCGCCAGAGCACGGUGGAACUGCCAUUCCGAAUUUUCAAAAUUGGCUGAGCCCUGGGACUGAUUUUUGGGUUUAUUUGGGACAUUUGUAGGUACCGUAGGCGCAUUUCAGUUCUCGGAAGAAAAUUUAAGAAACCCAAGGACUGCCCGUAGGCGUAGUGAACCAUUUAGCUUUUCGACGUCAAAUCAAGUAAGGGCCCCUUACCCUAUUUCCUAUCAUAAAUUUGAAGUUUGAAUAAAUAAUAAUACGGUCUUUUGUACAAAUUAAAUAUGUGUAUAAUUAAUUACGGAUUGCUAAUGGAGCCUGAAUCGGACAUUAUUUUCUGUUGAUUUCUGUUGAUUUAUUUUACAAUCUAAAAGCAUGAUGGUAUCUGGUUUAUCUUCUUUAUAGUUUAAAUGCAUGUAUUACUGUCUUACUUGAUCACUAUUUGAUUUUGCGAUUUAAGAUAUGAUUGCAUCAUCAUAUGCAUGUUCAUUUGUUUAUGUAUUAUGUUUGAUUUGGUAACGGGAACUAAGGGAAAACAAGAAAUGGGUGUGAUCAAAUAAAACAGAUAAGACGACAGCCUCACUAGAUAUCCUGAGAGAUGGUGGACGGACCGGGUUCAUAUGAAAUUCUACCGUGAACCUUGUCUCAUACCGGACGGGGUAGAGAGACUUGUCAUUUGGGCGCUCAUACCAGACGGAGUAUGGAGACGGUCCACUUCACCCUCAUACCGGAUGGGGUAUUGAGGUUUAAUAUCUUGGUGCACAUACCGGACGGGGUAUGGGGACGGCUCUGUAAUUAAGACUAUUAAAAAAGAUUGUUCACGUGUAGCGAGAACACCCCUAUGGAUCCCCAUGGAUACUAGUGGGUUGGUGAAACGAGAAAUGGUUAUGAUUUAGUUAUUGUUAAUGAAUAUAAAUUUAUGAUAUGUUCUAUGUUACGGAUUGUGCAUGAAAUUAUGAUAUGUAUGAUGUUAUUGUCUCUAUAGGUUAUUUUCAUAAAUUCCACAAUGGUAAGUGAAUUGUAAAUGAUUUUACGAUUGAUAAACAAAUUUGUUAAAUUUAGUGCUCCAUUAGUUGUUUUGAUUUUCUAUCAACCUUUACUUCUGUGCUGGUGUUAUAGUGUGAUAUCCUUACUGAACUAGCGUAACUCACCCCUUAUUUAACCAUUUCAGAUCAAGAGAACCUGAUUUCCGAGUACGAUCCAGUAGAUGCUAGAUACUUUGUAUUUUCUUUUACUUUUCUCAUUUCUUGUGUUUCUUUCAGAGAAUUCAUUCCGUUAUAUUUGUUUAGUACUUUUAAGUUAUUAUGUAAAGGAUGUAAACCUUAACCUUUUAUUUCGCUUCCGCACUUAAAUUAUUAUAUAUUUCUGUUUGGAUUUCCGGGGUCGUUAUAAGAGAAGUGGUGGUUGUGUGACCUAGAUCGGGUUGGAGGCAAACACAUGACAGGGGACAGGUGCGGUUGGACUACAUGACUGCAGGUGCGGCUGGACUGUGCGACAAUAGGACUGGUAGAGGCGAGCCACCAAUCUGAUGGUAUAGGAGGCCGCUGUUGGUUGCAGGAGAAGUCAUCGCAGCUUGUGGCUCUGUUUUCUCUGGUUGAUGUCCAUGAUGAAAGCCCACUUGACUGUUGAAAAUCAUAGGUUGUGGUGGCCAGCUAUAAAAACGUUGGACUCUGAUCUUUAGAGGUUCUCUCAUUUCGGCAAUAAAAACUUAAUAGGGUUUGUAAAAGAGUUUAUGAUUUCUUAACUUAGAGUUCUGAUACUACAUGAAAAAUAGUUAAAUGUGUAUUUUAUUAAAUAUUAUAGUUUUAUAUAUAUAUAUAUAUAUAUAUAUAUAUAAGUUUUCUAAAAUAGAAAAGGAAAUGG